rnacentral:rRNA from 1 species
AUGAAUUUGCUCUCUGAAUACAAAGAAGAGUGGAAAAAGACAAGAUGUACAAUUAUGUCUGAUGGAUGGACAGAUAAAAAGAAAAGGUCCAUCUGCAACUUUUUAGUGAAUAGCCCCAAAGGUAUUGUCUUUCUCGCCUCAGUCGAUACUUCUGACAUUUCCAAGACAGCGGACAAAGUGUUUGAAAUGUUAGAUGAUAUUGUUGAGCAAGUAGGAGAAGAUAAUGUUGUUCAAAUUGUAACGGACAAUGCCGCUAACUAUAAAGCAGCUGGUGAGCUAUUGAUGGAAAAGAGGAAAAAUUUAUUUUGGACUCCAUGUGCAGCUCAUUGUAUUGAUUUAAUUCUUGAGGAUUUUGAAAAGAAAAUUAAGAUGCAUCAGACAACCAUUACAAAAGGGCAGAAAAAUCACCACGUAUGUUUAUUCUAG